rnacentral:SRP_RNA from 1 species
GCUGAGAGCGGUGGCGCAUGCCUGUAGUCCCAGCUACUUGGGAGGCUGAGGUGGGAGGACUGCUUGAGCCCAGAAGUUCUGGGCGAUCAGGUGUCCGCACUAAGUUCCGCAUCAAUACGGUGACCUCCCGGGAGUGGGGGACCACCAGGUUGCCUAGGAGGGGUGAACCAGCCCAGGUCGGAAACGGAGCAGGUCAAAACUCCAGUGCUGAUCAGUAGUGGGAUUGUGCCUGUGAAUAGCCACUGCCCUCCAGCCUGGGCAACAUAGCAAGACCCGUCUCU